rnacentral:rRNA from 1 species
AGCGUACACGGUGGAUGCCCUGGCAGUCAGAGGCGAUGAAGGACGUGCUAAUCUGCGAUAAGCGUCGGUAAGGUGAUAUGAACCGUUAUAACCGGCGAUUUCCGAAUGGGGAAACCCAGUGUGUUUCGACACACUAUCAUUAACUGAAUCCAUAGGUUAAUGAGGCGAACCGGGGGAACUGAAACAUCUAAGUACCCCGAGGAAAAGAAAUCAACCGAGAUUCCCCCAGUAGCGGCGAGCGAACGGGGAGCAGCCCAGAGCCUGAAUCAGUGUGUGUGUUAGUGGAAGCGUCUGGAAAGGCGCGCGAUACAGGGUGACAGCCCCGUACACAAAAAUGCACAUGCUGUGAGCUCGAUGAGUAGGGCGGGACACGUGGUAUCCUGUCUGAAUAUGGGGGGACCAUCCUCCAAGGCUAAAUACUCCUGACUGACCGAUAGUGAACCAGUACCGUGAGGGAAAGGCGAAAAGAACCCCGGCGAGGGGAGUGAAAAAGAACCUGAAACCGUGUACGUACAAGCAGUGGGAGCACGCUUAGGCGUGUGACUGCGUACCUUUUGUAUAAUGGGUCAGCGACUUAUAUUCUGUAGCAAGGUUAACCGAAUAGGGGAGCCGAAGGGAAACCGAGUCUUAACUGGGCGUUAAGUUGCAGGGUAUAGACCCGAAACCCGGUGAUCUAGCCAUGGGCAGGUUGAAGGUUGGGUAACACUAACUGGAGGACCGAACCGACUAAUGUUGAAAAAUUAGCGGAUGACUUGUGGCUGGGGGUGAAAGGCCAAUCAAACCGGGAGAUAGCUGGUUCUCCCCGAAAGCUAUUUAGGUAGCGCCUCGUGAAUUCAUCUCCGGGGGUAGAGCACUGUUUCGGCAAGGGGGUCAUCCCGACUUACCAACCCGAUGCAAACUGCGAAUACCGGAGAAUGUUAUCACGGGAGACACACGGCGGGUGCUAACGUCCGUCGUGAAGAGGGAAACAACCCAGACCGCCAGCUAAGGUCCCAAAGUCAUGGUUAAGUGGGAAACGAUGUGGGAAGGCCCAGACAGCCAGGAUGUUGGCUUAGAAGCAGCCAUCAUUUAAAGAAAGCGUAAUAGCUCACUGGUCGAGUCGGCCUGCGCGGAAGAUGUAACGGGGCUAAACCAUGCACCGAAGCUGCGGCAGCGACGCUGAUGCGUUGUUGGGUAGGGGAGCGUUCUGUAAGCCUGCGAAGGUGUGCUGUGAGGCAUGCUGGAGGUAUCAGAAGUGCGAAUGCUGACAUAAGUAACGAUAAAGCGGGUGAAAAGCCCGCUCGCCGGAAGACCAAGGGUUCCUGUCCAACGUUAAUCGGGGCAGGGUGAGUCGACCCCUAAGGCGAGGCCGAAAGGCGUAGUCGAUGGGAAACAGGUUAAUAUUCCUGUACUUGGUGUUACUGCGAAGGGGGGACGGAGAAGGCUAUGUUGGCCGGGCGACGGUUGUCCCGGUUUAAGCGUGUAGGCUGGUUUUCCAGGCAAAUCCGGAAAAUCAAGGCUGAGGCGUGAUGACGAGGCACUACGGUGCUGAAGCAACAAAUGCCCUGCUUCCAGGAAAAGCCUCUAAGCAUCAGGUAACAUCAAAUCGUACCCCAAACCGACACAGGUGGUCAGGUAGAGAAUACCAAGGCGCUUGAGAGAACUCGGGUGAAGGAACUAGGCAAAAUGGUGCCGUAACUUCGGGAGAAGGCACGCUGAUAUGUAGGUGAGGUCCCUCGCGGAUGGAGCUGAAAUCAGUCGAAGAUACCAGCUGGCUGCAACUGUUUAUUAAAAACACAGCACUGUGCAAACACGAAAGUGGACGUAUACGGUGUGACGCCUGCCCGGUGCCGGAAGGUUAAUUGAUGGGGUUAGCGCAAGCGAAGCUCUUGAUCGAAGCCCCGGUAAACGGCGGCCGUAACUAUAACGGUCCUAAGGUAGCGAAAUUCCUUGUCGGGUAAGUUCCGACCUGCACGAAUGGCGUAAUGAUGGCCAGGCUGUCUCCACCCGAGACUCAGUGAAAUUGAACUCGCUGUGAAGAUGCAGUGUACCCGCGGCAAGACGGAAAGACCCCGUGAACCUUUACUAUAGCUUGACACUGAACAUUGAGCCUUGAUGUGUAGGAUAGGUGGGAGGCUUAGAAGUGUGGACGCCAGUCUGCAUGGAGCCGACCUUGAAAUACCACCCUUUAAUGUUUGAUGUUCUAACGUUGACCCGUAAUCCGGGUUGCGGACAGUGUCUGGUGGGUAGUUUGACUGGGGCGGUCUCCUCCUAAAGAGUAACGGAGGAGCACGAAGGUUGGCUAAUCCUGGUCGGACAUCAGGAGGUUAGUGCAAUGGCAUAAGCCAGCUUGACUGCGAGCGUGACGGCGCGAGCAGGUGCGAAAGCAGGUCAUAGUGAUCCGGUGGUUCUGAAUGGAAGGGCCAUCGCUCAACGGAUAAAAGGUACUCCGGGGAUAACAGGCUGAUACCGCCCAAGAGUUCAUAUCGACGGCGGUGUUUGGCACCUCGAUGUCGGCUCAUCACAUCCUGGGGCUGAAGUAGGUCCCAAGGGUAUGGCUGUUCGCCAUUUAAAGUGGUACGCGAGCUGGGUUUAGAACGUCGUGAGACAGUUCGGUCCCUAUCUGCCGUGGGCGCUGGAGAACUGAGGGGGGCUGCUCCUAGUACGAGAGGACCGGAGUGGACGCAUCACUGGUGUUCGGGUUGUCAUGCCAAUGGCACUGCCCGGUAGCUAAAUGCGGAAGAGAUAAGUGCUGAAAGCAUCUAAGCACGAAACUUGCCCCGAGAUGAGUUCUCCCUGACUCCUUGA